CUUUUGCUGCCCGGAAAGGAUAAAUGUAAAUUCUACAGGCCAGCCCACUGAGGGCAGUACAUGCAGGGUGCACAGUGCUCUCUGCAAAAUCCUUGUCCCCUUAGCAUAGUUGAUUAUGGGAAAAGGAUGCCAAGCUCAUAAGGUUCGCAGGGUUAGGAAAGAAUAGCUGGCUUGGAGGGUGGAUGCUGACUCUUUAUAUCUGCAUGGAU